rnacentral:lncRNA from 1 species
CUCUCUCUCUCUCUCUCUCUCUCUCUCUCUGCGUAUAUCAACGUGCGACGCUGCUGCUGCGUGUGUGCAGAAAAGUUAAUGGAGAGCAGUGCAGAGAUUCAGAGAAAAGGCUGGUUCGAUCGCUUUCCCCGAUGGAGACGAAGACAACUCACCUGCAGACUGCAGAGUGCAGACUGGAGCAGUGCUCAUCACGAACUUUUUCAUCCAUUCUUUCAUCAGCAUCUUUGCUAGUGACAGGAGGAUAUAAACUCGUGCAUGCAUUGCCAGAUGGGGAUAUCACAAUUGGGACUCAAAGCUUUCGAGCCAAAUGGAAUGGGCAGCAGAAGUAACAGCAAUGGCUGAGUUUAGUUCUAAACUUUUUUUUCAAACUUUCAACUUUUCUAUCACAUCAAAACUUUUCUAUACAUAUAAACUUUUAACUUUUUCGUCACAUCGUUCCAAUUUCAACCAAACUUUUAAUUUUAGCGUACUCGUCUGAAACUAGAAAUUCAUGGCUGAUUUGGUUUAAAAUUUAAUACUUCGUCCGUUCUAAAAUAAUACUAUCCGUUUACAUUUAGCAGUCCUUGAUGCUUUCGACCACUUUUUUUUCACAAAAUUGGCAUUUUGCAAUUGGCAAUACAAUAUUUCCCAUUUUACGUUUUAGUAUACUGAAAGAAGGAUCUAGAACUAUUCUGGAUACCAAAAAUUGCCUCUAUUUUUGGUACUAAAGUUUAAACUAGUGUGAAUCACGCUAGCUACUAAUUGAGUUCGUUAGUAAUUUAUUAUGUUUCUGUUGGUUAGCAAUCUUCCAUUCUGUUCUCAGAUUCUUCUCUUUUUCUUUUUUUCCAUUUGUGGCGUGCAGGAAGAGCCGAUUAUGCUCGUAUGCUCACAUAUAUCUCAUCGCGUUUUAAGAUUUAGAGUCCCCUUUACUAUCGUGAUAACUCCUGUAUUUUAUCUAUUUUUUGUAAUAUAGUAGUAAGGUUUGUCCUCGUUUCUUUGAUUUAGUAAAAAAUAUAACAUAAUUCACGUAGUGUGACAUAUAUAAACCAUGUGUUAUGUACACACACCCAAAAAAAAAGUGCUCCCUCCGUUUCUAAAUAUUUGACACCGUUGAUUUUUUAGCACAUGUUUAACCGUUCGUCUUAUUAAAAACUUUUAUGAAAUAUGUAAAACUAUAUGUAUAUAUAUAAGUACAUUUAACCAUGAAUCAAAUGAUAGGAAAAGAAUUAAUAGUACUUAAUUUUUUUUAAAUAAGACGAAUGGGCAAACAUAUUUUAAAAAGUUAACGGCUUUAAAUAUUUUGAAACAGAGGGAGUAAUAAUGAUUCUAAGUCCAAUUAGCGUACGAAGUGUAACAUACGUAUACACCUAGGAUGUGUUUAGUUCAGCGCAAAGUUUGAAUUUUAGUUGAAAUUGAAGAUAAUAUGACUGAAAAGUUGUGUGUGUAUGACAGAUUGAUGUGAUGGAAAAUGACUAAAGUUUGGAUCUAAACACAGCCUAGACUAACACGUACUGGUAGUUAACUAUAGCAGCUGCCGCUAUCAGCAGCAGGAAAGUCAUGGUAGGCCACGGUGACGCGCGAGGUGGCCGUGUUGCUGCGCACACUUGCGUGCGUGGUUGCACUUGUUUAAUCCGCGUGGUUGGUCGAUCGGCUCGUCCGCCGCGUCAUCCCACGACCCCGUUUAAGGUUUCCGCGUGAUGCAUGCACGUCGGCUUUAGCUGUCAAGGAUAACAGUGGUACGUUGUUGUCUCUAAAAUCGCUUCAAUUACUUAGUUCUACUUUUUUAAAAAAUGUUUCUUGUGUUACAACGGUGAUGACAUUUUAAGAAUUAUUAAAUUAUUUUUUUUUAAAAACCAAAACUCUGUUUUGGAAAAGAAAAGGUCAUAACAGAUAAAAAGAUACAGCAUCAUCAGUUCAACACUGGUGUAUGGACAUCCUCUGUUCCCCUCCAGUUAUCCAUAGUCGACCUUGACCAAAUUAUAAUCUAAGCUCUCUCUCUUUUGUUGGCAGAAGCACAUGUUCAUAGUAAAGAGUACAACAAGAGAGCACGAAGAGAACAGAGGCUGCAGAGCAGACCAGGCCGGCUAGACGAGCGUCCUUCGAGUAGGCGACAACUACAUGCUCAGGAGGCACAGGCGAUAACUGGUGGUGGCCCGCGCGGAGCGCCGAAGCUGUCGAGGGACCACGGGGCACAAGAGGUCGCCUCUUCCCCUUAGGCAGCGACAACCGUGCGUUGGUGUCUCGAACGUACAGGUCAAGGGAGGAUGCCAAAGAUGCGAAUGAUGUUGGAGAGGAGUUGGGACAAGGUGUAGGGGUAAUGCCCCAUCGGCGAGGCGGAUGGCUACAGGGCUGCGCCAGCAAUCUAACGGCGACCUAUAGCUUGUGCAGAGGUUGGGGAAGAGCAGAGACGGUGGCCCGACGGGAAGAGUCCCUCUGUGCACCAGCGAUGAAGAGGGUGUCGUGGUGGUGGGGCCGACCAAUGGUAGCGCUAGGUGGCAGGAGCAUGGUGGGAGAAGUCAACAUGAAGAGCUUGGUAAAGACAACUUAGACGGAGGAAGUUGAGGUGGAGGAACCGAUGCCCCUAGCGGCGGCCAUGCGGGAGCUUGCCUUGUGUUAGUGGCGGCCCAGGCAGGAGUGGAGGCAAAUCUAGACAGCGACCGUGAAGGAACCGAUAGGCAUCGGGAGAGCUGACGAGGAUGGCUCGUGAGCGUGAGUUGGUGACGGGCUCAAGUGGUGCUGACGGGGGGCGAGCGUCGGAAAGCUGGACAACGGAUGAAAAAUCCAUCGAAGCCUUACAUAUUAUUUUAAGUAGAUAUAUAAGCAAAAAAUCAUGUACUCACACACUGACAUCGUAUCGGAAUAGGAUGACGUAUCAAAAUUUUGGCUAGAAUUUUUUUAAUAUUUAUAAUAGUAGAGAUAGAUAGUAUGUGAUGUAUAUAUGCGGUAUAAGGUUGUCUAUAACCAGAUAUGACUCAACCUAUUAAUACGAAUCUAAACAGGGGACAUGCAUGAGAUAUGACAUAUUCAUAGUAUUAAGGUUGAGUCACAUCCGGUCGUAAGUUUUUAUAUUCUAAGACAAAGAGAGUAUUAUCUAACAAAUGUCAAUCUUCUCUCUCAUCUUUCUCUCCCCUUCAUCGCAUACUCCCUUCGCCCUUAAAAAACGAAUCUAGUAUUAGACGUGACACAUCAUAGUAAGACGAAUCUGGACGGAGGCAUGUCCAAAUUCAUUUGUACUGGGAUGUGUUAUAUUCAGUAUUUGGUUGGUUUUUUAUGAGACGGAGGGAGUAUGUAUUCCUAUAAGCGGGCAUCACACCAUUGUUAGUACCUAUAACUCAGGAGCACCUCUGUGUCUAGUUUAUAUGAAGAAAUUACGUGAGAGAGACGUUUUUAUCGCACAUAUAUCCCGUUCGUGCAAAUAAUAAUUCCACGCGAAAACAUUCCAAUUCCUCAGUCAUCCAUGCGACCCGCUGUUAGUUUUCGGUACGUGUUGCUCAGCAUAUACCACUAUCAACUUUGUUAUAACCCUUUUUUUCCCCUAACAUUUCUUGUUGCAAUUGCAUUUCGCAGUUUUAGUGUGUUUCCCAUUUAAUUACCCAGAUGAUGAAAUUGAAAUGAUAUGGGCAAGGGCAACAAGUGUGCCCAUUACUCCAGCUAGACCCUGACGAAAAACACAGACAAUUUUUUUUAAGAUAAUAAAAAGACAGACAAUUAGAAAAAGGAAAAAAAAGAAAAAUAAAUUCAACAAGCAACUUGUGACCUGCAGUGCAGGGCAUGUCCGAUGAUCACUUAAUUAAUUUGUUUGAAGGCAUGUUCCGACGAUCUAAUUUGGAACUUGGCAGAGCCACAGGUGGAUACGACUCUGCUUUUGCCGCAGAAAUAUGUGUUCUGCAUGUAUGGUGAUAUUAUUGCACCAUCAAUUCCAAGUUUGACUGAUUUCAAGUUUGUUUGAUGACAUUAAUUACAACGAAUAGAGAAAUGAGCUGUACUACUAGCGAUAUGAAAAAUGUGGAAAAUCAUAUUUAUCUGUGAUUUGUGUUUGUUUUUUUUUCUUCAAUAAAUAUCUAUGAAGCCAAAUUGCACCAUAAAAAUGGGCGAGUUUAGCUGUAUGCCUGUAUUAUACAGCAAAGCGAUUUAGAUUUGGUGGCAAUAAAUCAGUAAGAUAAUUUGCCUCUAGUUUGUGCUUAAUAAUGAGUUCACACUUCAAAUGCUCAGUUGUCUUACAGUCUUUCCAUUAGUACCGUUUGCCUCAACUUGUUAAUGGCAAGGUUUAUUCGAUCAUGGAAUCAUGGAUACGAAACCACACGAACAAAAGAAGGUUUCACAUUUUCAAAAUUAUAUAUUAGGCAUUUUCACGCUUUGUCCCAUUAAAUAAGUGGACACAGUCUCUCUGAAAAUUAAGCUGGUCGACCAACCAAGCUGGCCAUGUUCACUGUAACUGAUUUUUUUCCAUCUCCCUCAAAACGGAAUGUUAAAAGAAGACUGAAGUUGAGGAAACACAAACACAAUUCAUAUACCACCUCAUAUGUCCCAAAUUGCUCGAAAAUUCUUCGCAAUACAUUCAUGUCGUGAGAGACAAGUAAAAUCAUUUGUCAUUUUGACCAUCCCUGCUAUAUGGCUCUCACACACCAUACCUCGCUUUCAUAUCAUUUCUUUCCCCCACAAAACAUAAGACAAACUUAUAAUGGACGCAUCACUUGCCCGCCUAUCAUUAGUCGUCGCCCUCUCUCUUUCCCUCUAAAAGCAACAAAAAGGAUGAGAUGUAAGGCAAGAGAGUGGCUAAGCCCGCGUGACGAUAACCACAUACCAACCUCUCAUGUUUUCGAGCGUGUGCUAGAGAGACUCAGGUGGUGUUUAGAUCCAGGGACUUAACUUUAGUCCCUGUCUUUAGACACUAAUUUAGAGUAUUAAAUAUAGACUACUUACAAAACUAAUUACAUAAAUAAAAGCUAAUUCACGAGACAAAUUUUUUAAGCCUAAUUAAUCUAUAAUUAGAGAAUGUUUACUGUAGCAUCACAUAGGCUAAUCAUGGAUUAAUUAGGCUCAUUAGAUUCGUCUCGCAAAUUAGUCCAAGAUUAUGGAUGGGUUUUAUUAAUAGUCUACGUUUAAUAUUUAUAAUUAAUUUUCAAACAUCCAAUGUGAUAGGGACUUAAAAGUUUUAGUCCCAUCUAAACAGGGCCUCACUCGCAAAGUCGCAAGGCACCACUCCGCAUAGAUGUGUAUCUGUGUGCGUCUUCUAUUUAUAAUGAGAAAAAAAUAAGGAACAAAUAACCUCCCGUCCUAGCGACCUUCCUCACUUUUCUCUCUCUCCAGUCUAUAUAUCUACUGUCAGCGAAGGGGAGAGAGAGAUUGGGGGGGGGGAGAAGAAAACAACAAAUCACAACCACCAGCCAGCAGAAGUAACAGCUCAUCCAUCACAGCCAAAAAAAUACAAAAAAACUAAAAAAAAAGGAAAAAAACAUCCCGGGCCCACCCGCCUCCGCUCAGGUGGGCCCCACCCCGCCAGGCCAGCAUCACCACCAGACCUCCCUCCUACUACUACUACUCUCUCUCUCUCUCUCUCGCGUCGCCUGCGUCCAAUUCAAUUCAACUGCGGCGGCGACGGCGAGCGCCCCACGCAAGCAAAAUUUCCCCAGAAAAAAAGCAGAGCGCGGCGGCGACGACGACGACGACUACGCGAGGCGACGCGAGAGCGGAGGAGACCUGAGCGCGCGGGAGCGGGAUGAUGGGAGGGGUGGCGGCAGAGGUGGUGGUGGAGGACGCUGCCGCGGCGGCGGCAGCUGUGCCCGCGGCGGCGG